rnacentral:rRNA from 1 species
UACAGAGGUCUCAAGCGUUGUUCGGAUUCAUUGGGCGGUAAAGGGUGCGUAGGCGGCGCGGUAAGUCGGGUGUGAAAUCUUGGAGCUUAACUCCGAACUGCAUUCGAUACUGCCGUGCUUGAGGACUGGAGAGAGACUGGAAUUUACGGUGUAAGCGGUGAAAUGCGUAGAUAAUCGUAAGGAAGACCAGUGGACGAAGGCGGAUCU